rnacentral:rRNA from 1 species
CCUACGGGAGGCAGCAGUGGGGAAUAUUGCACAAUGGGCGAAAGCCUGAUGCAGCAACGCCGCGUGAGCGAUGAAGGCCUUCGGGUCGUAAAGCUCUGUCCUCAAGGAAGAUAAUGACGGUACUUGAGGAGGAAGCCCCGGCUAACUACGUGCCAGCAGCCGCGGUAAUACGUAGGGGGCUAGCGUUAUCCGGAAUUACUGGGCGAAAAGGGUGCGGAGGUGGUUUCUUAAGUCAGAGGUGAAAGGGUACGGCUCAACCGUAGUAAGCCUUUGAAACUGGGAAACUUGAGUGCAGGAAAGGAGAGUGGAAUUCCUAGGGUAGCGGGGAAAAGCGUUGAUAUUAGGAGGAACACCAGUUGCGAAGGCGGCUCUUUGGACUGUAACUGACACCGGGGGAAGAAAGCGUUGGGAGCAAACAGGAAUAGAUACCCCAGUAGUC